GCCCGAGUGGCGGAAUUGGCAGACGCGCUAGCUUCAGGAGCUAGUGGCCGCAAGGCCGUAGGAGUUCAAGUCUCCUCUCGGGCACCA
rnacentral:tRNA from 1 species